GCACACUUUGUGCCCUGUGCACUUACAGGCUGUGCCCAGGUGGGCCUGAAGCAGCUGACGCUGAGGUCUUUCUUCCUUCCUUUCAUACAGGAGGAUAGCCAGGUGCAGUUGAGCUCCAUGUUUAUCUUCCGAGACAUGCUGGAUUGUUUUCUGGAAGAGAAAAAAAAGGCCCUGAAGGCACACGUGCGCCAGAGCCUGCUGCCACUCUCCUUCCACUGCCAUGAUGAGAACCAGCGAGUUGCAGAGGCGAGGACUCGGCAGCUGCUGCUGUUCCCCUGGCAGGGGCUGGGCUGCCUCCUGCCCUGGCACCUCGCAGGCUGCAGCCUCCUGCUGGCCUUGGCACAGGGACGGGUCCUGUGCCCUGGGCUGUGGGGCCAUCUCCGCGUCUCUGCUGCUCUCCAGGCUUCUCAGGAAACGCUGCUUUGUGCAGCCGAGUUCCUGAAGCAGAGGGAUCUCGAAAAGCUGCUGAAGAACCAGAAGCCGUGGAAGUUCACCGAGUGCCUGCUGGCAGAGGACAGCAGCAGCGUGGCCGAGCACCUGCGCCGGGCCCUGCCCUACCUGCAGAGCCCACAGGAGCCCCUGCGAGAGGCGGCCGUCAGGUUCAUGGGGACGGCCGGGCGGUACCUGAGGGGGAGGAAGGAAGAGCUCCAGCUCAUCUCUGAGGGUGAGUGAGGGCAGCGGGCUGCCAGCGGGGGCUGGCGGGGAGCUGCGAGCCCUGCCCCGGCUGCGGAGGGCUCUGCUCCCUGUGCGGACCAGGGCCGGCGUGGGCAGAGCACACAGAGGUUUCAGGGCACCUGGGGGAUUCCUGGCCAGCAGCUUCGGGCUGAUCCAGCUGGUCCCUGCUCCCUGCUGGCCAUGGCCAGAGCCGGCUGGGAUGGCCCUGGCACAGAGUCCCCUCGGGUCCCCUCAGAUGUGGGAACUGACCAUGGCUCUGUUCCUCUCUCUUUCAGCCCUUGAAGGCAUGGCCAAUGACAUCAGUGUCCCUGUCGCAAGCCUGGCAGUUCAAACAUUGUACGUCCUCCAGGAAGCAGAGAGAGCUCCAUACUCCAUCUUUGACAACCUGCAUGAUCGGCUCCGCAGGGCAUGGAGGAGACGGCCUCGUCUGUCGGGGCUCGGCUGGCUGCGCUGCUGGAGCUCUGCAGAGAGCUGAUCCCAGAGGCUCUGUCUGCUGGGGCCGCCCGAGCCAGCAGGAAUGUUUCGUUUCUUUAAGAUUGUUCUUUUCUUUCUCUUUGUUUUACUUUAGCAUAUAAAUAUAGGAUGUGUUUUAAUAGACAGACUCCCAGGAUCUUUCUUUUGCUGCCCAGGUUCUGCAGGGCCUAGGGGAAGAGGGACAAAAGGGAUCCUGGGCUCAGCAAGCUGCCCAGGCAUGCAGGGUUGCAGGGAAAAUGGCCAGAAGCCCCUUGGCCUUUGGUGGUUCUGCCGAAGCCUUUGUGCUGCCCACAGAGCAGAUGGGCAGGGGCUGGAGCUGUGGGGAUCUCUGUGAGAGCGGUGCCUGGAGAUGGCCACAAGCCCUGUCCCAGGCAGGAAGCGCCAUCCGUGUCCUCCUGCCCGUGUGUUGCUGCCUGGAUUGCUGAGGGCUCCCAGGUGCCUCUGGAUGGGCUCCUCUGGAGCUCCUGUGGGGCUGCGGCGCUGCUGCCGGGCAGGUUGGCCGGGCUGGGGAGAGCCUGAGGGGACGGGGCCACGAAGGGAUGAGGGGCUGCGGAAGCCCUGACAGGACAAGGCAGUGGGAAGGCACGGGGGGGACGUGUGAGGGAGUGGGUAACGUUGGCUCGGGGAGGAAAGUGGGUUGGAGCCAAAGAGACCACUCACCCCGAUGUUCCUGUGGCAAACAGAGCACGUUUAUUCUCAAGCCCUUCCUUCUAAAGGGCCUUUGAAAAACCCAGUCUGGAUGAUUUCACUGGUCUGAUCUCUGUGCCCCUUCAGAUUCUGGCCUGGGGAAUGCCUGCAGCCUUGGGAGAGCUGUGAUGGGCCAGGCCCCUGUCAGUCAAACCAGGGCUGGUACAUUCACCCCGUACAAGCCAGCCUGCACGGUGACACGGCAACAGAGUGCGAGGCACAGCUGCGGGUGCUCCCCGUGAACCUCAGCUCUGGGACCACUGC
rnacentral:lncRNA from 1 species